AUGCUUACCAGCUAGGGGAGGCACCAUGAUCCAGAAGGUGGUUUUCCCAGGGUGACUCAUCUCCAUUGCACCCCAGGUGUGCUGACCCCUGUGAGUGCCCAAAAUGGAGGGCACUCAACUGCAUAAUGCUUAGUAGUGGGGGAAUAUGUUUGUACUUUCAUCUG